CCUACGGGUGGCAGCAGUGGGGGAUAUUGCACAAUGGGGGAAACCCUGAUGCAGCGACGCCGCGUGAGGGAAGAAGUAUUUCGGUAUGUAAAGCUCUAUCAGCAGGGAAGAAAAUGACAGUACCUGACCAAGAAGCCGCGGCUAACUACGUGCCAGCAGCGGCGGUAACACGGAGGGGGCAAGCGUUAUACGGAUUUACUGGGUGUAAAGGGAGCGUAGACGGUUUGGUAAGUCUGGAGUGAAAGCCCGGGGCCCAACCCCGGGACCGCUUUGGAAACUGUGUAACUGGAGUUCAGGAGGGGCAGGCGGAAUUCCUGGUGUAGCGGUGAAAUGCGUAGAUAUCAGGAGGAACCCCGGCGGCGAAGGCGGCCUGCUGGACUGAAACUGACGUUGAGGCUCGAAAGCGUGGGGAGCAAACAGGAUUAGAUACCCGUGUAGUC
rnacentral:rRNA from 1 species